GAGAUCAUUGAUUCUCCGAAAGAAAUUAGUAUCUGGUGAUUUAGAUGUGGGCCUCAGCUGUGGACAGAAGGCACCGAGAGAAGUCCAAACCCUUCAGGAUCACUAACACAGGCGUCUCUGCCAAGGUUUCAGGAUGUAUCGGCCAGGACCGGUGGAGCAAUAUUCCCCACCAUCAUCAGGCUGACGUUCCGGAGUCCGGUACCGUGUUUGCAGAGAAGGCCUCGGGGGAUCCACCACUGCAGAUGUGUACAGCUCAGAACUAGUGGAGAAACAUCUGUCUCGCUCCGGGGAUGGACAUUUUCUUAUCCACAUAGCCAGAGGAGGCCCAGAGAGCAACCGGGAGCCGAGACGAGGGAAGGUCCCCGAAGAACGGAUUAGGUCACGACCGAUUGCUGGCCAUUCCACCGGACAUAGACAAGGCAGAAUUAGCACAGCCAUGAGGAGCUACAGGGAAGAGCGUGGAUUUCCUGUCACCUGUGACAUCUCCCUCGUCUCUGGCAUCGCCCACGGUUUACAGUGACUAAACCAAAACUGUUUAUUUUUCUACUCCGAUGGUGUAUGUACCUGUAAUACAUUUAUGUAUGAUAAUGUCUAUCUCCCACUCUAGCCUGUAAGCCCAGAGUGGGGAAACAAUGUGGUCUUCCUUAGUUACAGUGUACUCUCCCCAAGGCUGUGGACAGUGUAAGAGUUGAAUAAAAGUGAUGGAUUGGGCUUGAGAACAAUCA